CCUACGGGAGGCAGCAGUGGGGAAUAUUGGACAAUGGGCGCAAGCCUGAUCCACCCAUGCCGCGUGAGUGAUGAAGGCCUUAGGGUUGUAAAGCUCUUUCAGCGAGGAGGAUAAUGACGUUACUCGCAGAAGAAGCCCCGGCUAACUUCGUGCCAGCAGCCGCGGUAAU
rnacentral:rRNA from 1 species